UAUAUUUGAAAUGUCCCCUACAACAGAACCAACGAAACCUGUUUAAUAAGCGAUUUAUCAUUGUUAGUCGUUUUAUAGGUAUCUUGGAUGCGAAGAGUGGAAAAGGUUUUGUAAAUUAUGUUCCACGCUUACAAAUGAGAAAUGUUUCUUUGUGCGAUUAAUGUUUCAUCUGGACAUACAUGCAAUUUAUUUGUACAUGUUUAUUUAUACACAGCGUAGAUAAAAAUGUGGGCCAGCCUUAACAGAGACACACAACAUUUAUCGUUUAAAUAGGUUGUAAUUUGUUAAGUUUAUUAAGUUUAUUAUACAACAACUGGUGGAGCGUGAAAGUUCAAAAACACAAUAUCGUCUAAAAAUUGAAACGAGUAAUGUCAUUUGAAAUUUGAAAUUGACGAUAAUCACGAUGAUUAGAUAACAUAGAUUUACUGCACAUAUAUUGCUCGCUUUUCGCGUUUCCGAGGGAAAAUAGUUUUAAACGAUAUUUUACGAUCGAAUAAAUACUUCUCGCAUUGCGUUUAUCUUUGUUAACGCUAUUACAAAAUUGAUUGCAAAUCGCGCAUUGAUCACCUUCAGAAACAUAAAGCGACAAAGGAUCGUGACAGUGACAAAUGGAUCGUUGUUCUUAAAAUAUAUCUCUGUGUACGCUAAAUGCGAUAAAUUUGUUGCACAUAAAAGCUCAAGUUUCAUGUGCAAUAUAUAUAUAUUCUCUGUUCUUCGGGACUUCGAUCCUGCUUCUGUCAUUAAUUUUUACUUUCGUUACUAAUAAAAACGCCUAUGAACUCCAAAGGCCCAAACCACGAGUAUCAUGUUGACUAAGGUGUAAAUUUAAAAUAUAAAAUGUGCAAUGAUUACGUGUUUCCAUUUAAAACAAUACCUGUACUUCUGAUAAAAACACAAACACAAAAAAAUCAGAAACAUCAAAUCCUUCUUACAUUAAAAAACUACCUCCUCCAAGAAACUUCUCUUCCUUAGUCAACUACUCAAACAUUCCGCAACCCACAGCGCGCACAAUCGAUCCAAGCCACCCUCGUAAACCGCCUACACGUUAACCUUGCAUCCCUCUAGUCGACGCUCGUAAUGCCAGAGAAAGAAAAAGGAAGAAAGUGGUGCGAUAAACCGUAGACUAGACUCCCUCACGCGAUUAAAAGUCGCCAGAAGAAAUCGAAGAGGGAGAGAGAGAGAGAGAGAGAAACAUUGUUUGUUUUCUGCGACGAUCCGCUGUGUUUGGCACGGUUUUAGGGGUGGGAGGUAGCGUUGCGGGUAAGAGGGCGGCUUUUGCGCAUAAUCCUAUGACCUCUUUAGCGCGACGAUCCUUCGAAAAGGAUACACGGAAUGCGCUAUCAAUUCCACCUUCUCCCGUCGGCGUUUUCGAAGGACUGUUUGGCCGUGUUCCAACGCACGAACCAGCAGAAAGCUCGCAGUCAGAGGCGACCAUCCGCGACUUUUCGCCGAUCCUUAUUGGCUUAGCAUAGUUUCGUCGCGAUGCCGUCUCGGUCCGCGUGAUUCUUCCUCUUCCGUACGCUCGUCACAGAGUGAUUUACAUCGAGAACAACUUCCUCGACGGAACACGCUUCUGAGUUUCGUCCUUUCAUUUUCUCUCCUCUGUUUUGUAUCCGAUGUUCUUCUUGUCUGGAAAUUGAUGCGAGAAAGGCUGAGAGUUAGAAGAAGAGAAUUUUCGCCAUUCCACGCCGAUCGAGGAGCGUAAAUGUUGAACCGUUGCACUCGACACGCACCAAGAUUUGUUUGUGCGGAGAACGCGUGCUGAGGUCGCGUCAGCACGACCGCGGAACCAGCCAGGAAAGACGGUACAAACGAAGCCAUCGUCGAUCACCGAGUAGCGGUCGCCAGCACGG